rnacentral:sRNA from 1 species
AUGGCUGUCGUCAGCUCGUGUCGUGAGAUGUUGGGUUAAGUCCCGCAACGAGCGCAACCCUCAUUUUUAGUUGCCAUCAGGUUAAGCUGGGCACUCUAAAAAAACUGCCGGUGAUAAGCUGGAGGAAGGCGGGGAUGACGUCAAGUCCUCAUGGCCCUUACGGUCUGGGCUACACACGUGCUACAAUGGUGGUGACAGUGGGCAGCAAUACUGCAAAGUAAAGCUAAUCCCAAAAAACCAUCUCAGUUCGGAUUGGACUCUGCAACUCGAGUCCAUGAAGUUGGAAUCGCUAGUAAUCGUAGAUCAGCGUGCUACGGUGAAUACGUUCUCGGGCCUUGUACACACCGCCCGUCACGCCAUGGGAGUUGGUUUUACCUUAAGCCGGUGCGCUAACCGCAAGGAAGCAGCCGUCCACGGUAGGGUCAGCGACUGGGGCGAAGUCGUAACAAGGUAACCGUAGGGGAACCUGCGGUUGGAUCACCUCCUUUCUAAGGAUAUUGAUGUCUGUUUAGGCAGGCAUCCGGAUUGUUGUCUAUUUAUCUCUUUAUAAUAUUAGCUAAGUGCUAGGUGUUUCCUUAAUCAAACUGGGCCGGUAGCUCAGUUGGUUAGAGCGCGCGCUUGAUAAGCGUGAGGUCGGAAGUUCAAGUCUUCCUCGGCCCACCAUUUAUUCAAGGGGGAUUAGCUCAGCUGGGAGAGCGCCUGAUUUGCAUUCAGGAGGUCAGCGGUUCGAUCCCGCUAUCCUCCACCAUAACUUCUAAUAUUUUAUCUUGUUUGCUCUUUAAAAUUGUAAAUAUGAAACUAAUAACUGAUCAAAAUAAUUUUAUUAUUGAUUAAAAAUACGUACAAAAUUUUUCUCUGUACGUAAUUGCAAUCAAGCGCAAAAGGGCAUUUAGUGGAUGUCUUGGCAUUAAGAGACGAAGAAGGACGUGGCAGGCUGCGAUAAGCUAAGGGGAGUUGUCAACAAACUUUGAUCCUUAGAUAUCCGAAUGGGGAAACCCGG